rnacentral:rRNA from 1 species
AGUGAACGCUGGCGGUAGGCCUAACACAUGCAAGUCGAACGGCAGCACAGUAAGAGCUUGCUCUUACGGGUGGCGAGUGGCGGACGGGUGGGGAAUACAUCGGAAUCUACUUUUUCGUGGGGGAUAACGUAGGGAAACUUACGCUAAUACCGCAUACGACCUACGGGUGAAAGCAGGGGAUCUUCGGACCUUGCGCGAUUGAAUGAGCCGAUGUCGGAUUAGCUAGUUGGCGGGGUAAAGGCCCACCAAGGCGACGACCCGUAGCUGGUCUGAGAGGAUGAUCAGCCACACUGGAACUGAGACACGGUCCAGACUCCUACGGGAGGCAGCAGUGGGGAAUAUUGGACAAUGGGCGCAAGCCUGAUCCAGCCAUACCGCGUGGGUGAAGAAGGCCUUCGGGUUGUAAAGCCCUUUUGUUGGGAAAGAAAAGCAGCAGGUUAAUACCCCGCUGUUCUGACGGUACCCAAAGAAUAAGCACCGGCUAACUUCGUG